CUAGUUUGUUGCAAUAUUGGACAGUACUUUAAACCUUAUAAGUAACUAUAUAAUGCAAGAAUAAUUCUAUUCUGCAACACUUUCUAGAACUGAGAGAAAGAUCCUUCUAGUAAAUCGAUAAAGAUGUUAAACACAUACAAAGUUAUGUACUAAUGUUAGAAUUCAAAGUUAAUUCAAAGAGAAUAUUAAACCAGAGUAGAAUGACUGAAGAAACCCACCACCCUUCCAAAAAAAAAAAAGAAAAAAAAAAAAAGGUGAGAGACAACAUUAAAACCAGCGACAGAUAACAUGAAUAACUGAUUAUAUAGGGACAGAUGAAGUGAUAUAUUAGGCAGCAAGUGAACUGUCC